rnacentral:RNase_P_RNA from 1 species
CAGGGAAGCAACGUGGUCGCGCCCAUACGGGUGAGGAAAGUCCGGGCAUCACAGGGCAGAAUGCCUGCUAACGGCAGGGCGGCGAGUAAACAGCAGCGCAAGUUAGGAGAAUUGGGCUGAAUGUGCGAAGCCGACGGAAAGUGCCACAGAAACGAGACUGCUGCACGCCCUUUUGGGUGUGUAGUGAGGGUGAAACGGUGCGGUAAGAGCGCACCCCUGUCGCAGGAAACUGCGAGGGCGGGUAAACCCCAUUUGAUGCAAGCUCCGAACGGCGGAGGGCGGCCCGUCCUUUGAGGCCAAAGAGAGCGCUCGAGCGGUUUGGUGACAAACCGCCCAGAUAGAUGACCACGACCAGUCGCAAGGCUGGGACAGAACCCGGCUUACUCCCUUCCCUCGAGC